rnacentral:lncRNA from 1 species
GCAAGCAGGUGUACAACAUCUCCGGCAGCAAGUAUGUCACCUUCGAUGGGCUAGCACGGGCAUGCGCAAAGGUCAUAUAUAUGAACAAGCUCUUCCUCGUGUGCAAACCACUCCAUGUCCGUGGGUAAUUCACUUAGAUUCUAACUAUACAUCAUUUUUCGCUUGGUGUUUGACAUGCAAUGCAGGCUGGAGGGUUCCCUGAGCCGGAGAUCAUCCACUACAACCCCAAGGACUUCGAUUUCGGCAAGAAGAAGGCCUUCCCCUUCAGAGACCAGGUAUUUCUUCUACAUCAUGCUCCGGAAAAAGUACUCCCAACUAUUACAGUGUUGCUGACUGACACUGCACGAUGCAAACGAUGGCAGCAUUUCUUUGCGUCUGUGGAGAAGGCCAGCAAGGACCUCGGGGUUACGCCGGAGUACGACCUCCUCGACGGCUUGACGGACUCGUACAACCUCGACUUCGGCCGCGGGACCUUCAGGAAGGAGGCUGACUUCACCACGGACGACAUGAUCCUCGGCAAGAAGCUCGUGAGCGUCUGAGGCGUGCAUGGACGGGCACAUGGCUCAUGGCUCAUGGCAGUGCAAAGCGUGUGGCAACAGCGUGUGCGGCGUGCAUAUGUAGCACAGGGAAGACGAUCUCAGUUUUGGGAUGUAGGUUGAGGUUCACUCAUCCGAUGAAAUGUACUGCUGACCAAACCUAAUUCUCUCCUCGUGUCAUUUG